UUUGAAUAAUAAAUCUAGAAGAUCUGGGCGCCAAUUAAUGCAAUGGGACUUUGAGUUGUCGCUAAUACUAUGAUCCAAGUGGCCAUGAUGUUUCAGAUGCGUUGUUUACUUUUCAAUCACAAAGGCCAAAAUACUAAGCUUUGGCAGACAACUCUAACGCCAAUAUAUUUGUUAUCAAAGUUUUGAGCCAGUGCAAUCUAUGGGAAACGACGCUACUUGAAGGAUUUUACAAAUUUUGGGUUUAAGGUUUUAAUCAAGGACCAAUGAAAUUUUAUUUUUAUCGUGAAUUUUGUAUUUCUUAACUUUCAUUGAAGCAUUGGAAUGGUAGAUUUGAUAAGUGAAUAAGUCUCUUGCAAACUGGUUCCACCAAAGUAUCUAAUACAUACAAACUAAACAAAUAACUACUAAAUACCGUACCGGCAGCAAUUACGGAACUAGUCAAUAUGAUAACGGUAUAGUACAUAAAGUUUCAAGGAAUUAGAGGUGUGUUUAUUUUGGGUGAAUUGAGGUACGAGUAAUAACAUGUCGUCGUUUCUAUGUUUUCCGAACUUCAUCAAAUGUUGGAACAAGAUGGCACGAGCUAUGAUAUAUUUACUCAAUAGUGCACAGAGUGGGGCUACUAAGGGAGAAACAUAUCAAAAAACAACCUUGGAAUAUUAAACAACGGAUAGUUUGGUUAAAUGCUUAUCUAUAUAUCAUAAUUUUUCUAGGGCGAUUGGGAUCGCCAUUGAAAUUGUUUAUGUCACAGUUAUUUUGAAAAAGCAGUUAUUAAUUGUUGCUUCAGAAGCGUGCGGAUUUCAAGAAACUCUGGGAUUUUAGCCAAAUUUACGUCUUCUCCUUUAUCCAAGCGAUGAUCGUACAAUUCCUCACCAAAUAUUUCAUUCCAAUCUAAGAACAGAAAAAGUAUUUACAUAAAAUGUUGUAAUAUGUCUUCUCCACCCCAAGGAGAAUAAAGGUCCCAUUCUUGGGGGUUUUCAAUAUAAAA